rfam:Hymenolepis microstoma genomic scaffold, pathogens_HYM_contig_0028
AUAUGCUAUUAUAUAUCAGUUUUUCUUUUGAUUACAGGAAUGAUGGUAGGAGCCUUGUGUGCCAUUACAGGAGUCUUGACAAUUGCCCUACCAGUACCUGUCAUUGUAUCGAAC